UAUAAUUUAGUGUAAUAGGCACAAAAAUUUUUGAUAUUUUUAGUAAUAGUUUAUUCUAUUAAAUAUAA
rnacentral:tRNA from 1 species